rnacentral:lncRNA from 1 species
AGAAUGUAGCGGUACAAUUCUUCAGAUUCGACGUCUGAAGUGUAAAUACCAAGACAUACUUCCUCCUACCAGUAGACUUGAGACGAGAUCAACCUCCAUGACGUCAAGAAGACAAUUCCACCGCGAUAGUUCUGUGGAGAGAUUGGGAAGCCAAAGAGUAAGGCAGAGAGACCGUGUAAAUGUGUCUGAAUCUGUUACCGCUCCUGCCACGAUAGUGAUUCUUAGAUCCAGCAAGCAGCAGCGUAUGUGCAACAGGAAUACCUAUGAAAGCAGAAGGGGAACUCUCAUAAACGAUGAUUACACAAUGAAAAGCGUGAAAUGUGGAACCACAAUCAAUUCCAGAUUUUCUUCAGACGAAUUUUCAUCGAAUUCAACAUCCGGAAGUCUUACCAGCUACUCAGAGGUAAGAAUGAUCAAACUAAUCUUGUGAAUUUUUUAAGAAGCAGCUUUGGUCCAAAACAACCUGUCAAGCGAGACGAUAGGAGUUAGAUGAACUAUACUUUUGGGAUCUAGAACUUCGUUUCUCUUUCUAGUCGCAGACAUACAAAACCUUGUUUGUUUGAACUCGUCAUCAGUUACUACAAGUAAGAGUUGCAUGUCGUCUGGCUACAACGCAACGGUGUGUCAGGAACUUUACAGAACUCCCAUUCUAAUGAAGUCAAAGUUCUACUUAAACCCUAGCAGCACCACUAGAAUCAUUGGUCUGCUCAGCAAGUGUUUGUAAGCAGACCCCAACUAAAGACCACUAACUAGAGAAGAAAUUUGGACUUCAGGAUGAC